AACCAAACCAUUGUUAUUGUCGCUAGUGACCUUUGGGUGUGGCACAAUCAGACGAGGUUUCCGUCUAAUAAUCCGAUAUGUGGUUUUGACGGUGAACAUUGCCCGGAAAAUUCAGUAAACUGGGGACCGAUGUUGGCCGGUGUUGCACUGACCGUUAUAAUUAUAGUUGCGGUGUGCGCCGGGUGGUUGUAUCGACGAAAAGCAAACCGAAUGACUGUGUUGCACAUGUUUCUCAACGCCGCAUCGCUAACCUACGAAUCAACAAACAGUACGGUUGAGGGAAAGCAAACUGUAUCAUAUAGCGACGGAAGCCUUCGCCUCGAACACCAGCC